UACAGAGGUCCCGAGCGUUGUUCGGAUUCAUUGGGCGUAAAGGGUGCGUAGGCGGCGGGAAAGUCUGAUGUGAAAUCCUGGGGCUCAACCCUGGAACUGCAUUGGAUACUUCCUUGCUAGAGUACUGGAGAGGAAACUGGAAUUUACGGUGUAGCAGUGAAAUGCGUAGAGAUCGUAAGGAAGACCAGUGGCGAAGGCGAGUUUCUGGACAGUUACUGACGCUGAGGCACGAAGGCCAGGGGAGCAAACGGG
rnacentral:rRNA from 1 species